UGAAUACGAGACGCUAAGGCGUCGAAGUAGUGUAUGUCAUACUUCCAAGAAAAGCUUGCACUGUCAUAGAUAAAAAACGCCUGUACCAUAACCGACACAGGUGGGUAGGUAGAGUAUACUAAGGGGCGAGAGAUAACUCUCUCUAAGGAACUCGGCAAAAUAACUCCGUAACUUCGGGAGAAGGAGUGCCUUAUUCGUAAGGUUGCAAUAACAAGAUCCAAGCAACUGUUUAUCAAAAACACAGGUCUCCGCUAAGUCGUAAGACGAUGUAUGGGGGCUGACGCCUGCCCAGUGCCAGAAGGUUAAAGAAGUUGGUUAGCAAUUGCGAAGCUGAUAACUGAAGCCCUGGUGAACGGCGGCCGUAACGAUAACGGUCCUAAGGUAGCGAAAUUCCUUGUCGGGUAAGUUCCGACCCGCACGAAAGGCGUAAUGAUUUGGAUACUGUCUCGGAGAGGGGCUCGGUGAAAUAGACUUGUCUGUGAAGAUGCGGACUACCUGCACCAGGACAGAAAGACCCUAUGAAGCUUUACUGUAACUUGAAAUUGAAAUUGGACUUUAUUCGCGCAGUAUAGGUGGGAGGCGUUGAUUAUAAUCUUGUGGGAUUAUUGGAGCCAUCAGUGAGAUACCACUCUUGUAAUGUUAGAUUUCUAACUUUGAAUCAUUAUCUGGUCAAAGAACAGUUUCAGGCGGGCAGUUUGACUGGGGCGGUCGCCUCCUAAACGGUAACGGAGGCGUACAAAGGUUUCCUCUGAACGGUUAGAAAUCGUAUCUAGAGUGUAAAGGCAUAAGGAAGCUUGACUGUGAGACCUACAAGUCGAGCAGGGACGAAAGUCGGUCUUAGUGAUCUGACGGUACUGAGUGGAAAGGCCGUCACUCAACGGAUAAAAGUUACUCUAAGGAUAACAGGCUGAUCUCCCCCAAGAGUUCACAUCGACGGGGAGGUUCGGCACCUCGAUGUCGGCUCAUCGCAUCCUGGGGCGGUAGUACGUCCCAAGGGUUGGGCUGUUCGCCCAUGAAAGCGGUACGCGAGCUGGGUUCAGAACGUCGUGAGACAGUUCGGUCCAUAUCCGGUGUAGGCGUUAGAAUAUUGAGAGGAGCCUUCUUUAGUACGAGAGGACCGAGAAGGACAUACCUCUGGUGUACCAGUUAUCGUGCCAACGGUAAACGCUGGGUAGCUAUGUAUGGAGUGGAUAACCGCUGAAAGCAUCUAAGUGGGAAGCCCACCUCAAGAUAAGUAUUCUCAUC
rnacentral:rRNA from 1 species